UAGUACAUCGCACACCUGCAUCCUUUGCGAACGAGUCGAACACCCGUUGUACCGCUGUCCUAAAUAUAACGACAUGACGAUAACCAACAAAUGGGAGUGGCAAACCAUUUCCAAUGAUACUUAAAGUGAGACGACAGCGGGAAUUUCCUGGAUGCACACUCUACAACCGAUAAGGAGACUCGAAUCGAAACCGUAAAAACCAUACGAGAAAACAAUCAAACGCAGCGAUUGUUUAUAUUUUAUUCAAUAAUUUUAAAUGUACUCUGUUGUAUAUGUUAACUGCAAACUCGACACCUCAGAUAAAUUCAUAACUAUCA
rnacentral:lncRNA from 1 species